AACCUGAGGAACCCAAAAGAUCGAAUGGGGAGAUUCAUCGUCAGCGACGCUGACUGCACGGUGGCAAGUGAUGCAACGGGGCUUCGGCCUCGGGGUACGCGGCCAUCGCGUAUGUCCGGCGUCGUCGGCGUGCACUUCUCCCCUAGUAGGACGUCGCGACCCGUUGGGUGCCGGUCUAAGGCCCGGGUGGUAGCCUGUCUCGUCGCUUCGGCGAUCCGAGGCAGACCCCCGGUUGCCAGUCGCCGGCUGCCCGGCGGUACUCGCAUGGUAUCGGGCCGCAAAAUCGAACUGCGUCGGGCCCGUCGCAAGCGCGAUCAGUGUUUCACGGAUGUACGGACCCAGUGCCGUCACCGUGCCUGAUCAGCUGUUGGUUUGACGGUGUUCUCCGACUGGCCAUUGAACGAUAAUGAUACCGGUCAGCGACGCUACUGCUUUGGGUAAUCUCAGGACCCGUCUUGAAACACGGACCAAGGAGUCUAACAUGUGCGCGAGUCAUUGGGACAUCGCAUGCCUAAAGGCGAAAUGAAAGUAAAGGUCGGCCUUAGCGCCAACCGAGGGAGGAUGGGCCGCGUCAAGAUGCGGCUCCGCACUCCCGGGGCGUCUCGUUCUCAUUGCGAGAAGAGGCGCACCCAGAGCGUACACGUUGGGACCCGAAAGAUGGUGAACUAUGCCUGGUCAGGACGAAGUCAGGGGAAACCCUGAUGGAGGUCCGUAGCGAUUCUGACGUGCAAAUCGAUCGUCGGAACUG
rnacentral:rRNA from 1 species